AGAGUUUGAUCCUAGCUCAGGAUGAACGCUGGCGGCGUGUCUAAGGCAUGCAAGUCGAACGAUCUCUUCGGAGAGAGUGGCAAACGGGUGAGUAACACAUUGGUAAUCUGCCUCGAAGUGGGGGACAACCUUUCGAAAGGAAGGCUAAUCCCGCAUGUGGUCAUCUUGCACGAGCAAGAUGAAGAAAGGCUAGCAAUAGUCGCUUCGAGAGGAGCCUAUGGCCUAUCAGCUUGUUGGUAAGGUAAUGGCUUACCAAGGCUUCGACGGGUAGCGGGUGUGAGAGCAUGACCCGCCUCACUGGGACUGAGACACUGCCCAGACUCCUACGGGAGGCUGCAGUCAAGAAUAUUUCGCAAUGCCCGAAAGGGUGACGGAGCGACGCCGCGUGAAUGAAGACGCCCCUCGGGGUGUAAAAUUCUUUUAUCAGGGACGAACAAAUGACGGUACCUGAUGAAUAAGUCACUGCUAACCUCGUGCCAGCAGCAGCGGUAAUACGAGGGUGACAAGCGUUAUCCGGAUUUAUUGGGCGUAAAGCGUACGCAGGCGGUUUGUUAAGUCGGAUGUCAAAUCUCGAUGCUCAACAUCGAAACCGCGUCCGAUACUGGCAGACUAGAGACUGGGAGAGGCAAGUGGAAUGGCCGGUGUAGUAGUAAUAUGCAUUAAUAUCGGCUGGAACACCAAAAGCGAAGGCAGCUUGCUAGAACAGUUCUGACGCUCAUGUACGAAAGCGUGGGGAGCGAAGGGGAUUAGAUACCCCCGUAGUCCACGCCGUAAACGAUGGAUACUAGGUAUUGGAAGUAUCGACCCUUUCAGUAUCGUUCAAAAUAGCUAACGCGUUAAGUAUCCCGCCUGUGGAGUACGGCCGCAAGGCUAAAACACAAAGGAAUUGACGGGAACCCGCACAAGCGGUGGAGCAUGUGGUUUAAUUCGACGAUAAGCGAAGAACCUUACCAGGGCUUGACAUCCCCGGAACGUCUUGGAAACAAGACCGUGCCCGCAAGGGAGCCGGGUGACAGGUGCUGCAUGGUUGCCGUCAGCUCGUAUCGUGAGACGUUGGGUUAAGUCCCAUAACGAGCGCAACCCUUAUCCUCUGUUACACUUUCAGAGGAGACUGCCGAUUCUAAUCGGAGGAAGGAGGGGACGACGUCAAAUCAGCAUGGCCCUCUGACGCCCUGGGCAACACACGUGCUACAAUGGUCAGUACAAUGGGUCGCCAAACCGCAAGGUGGAGCCAAUCCCAUCAAAACUGGCCUCAGUUCGGAUUGAGGUCUGCAACUCGACCUCAUGAAGUUGGAAUCGCUAGUAACCGCAGGUCAGCUAUACUGCGGUGAAUACGUUCUCGGGUUUUGUACACACCGCCCGUCACGUCAAGGGAGUCAGGAGUGCCCGAAGACCCUCGUGCGAGGGGCUAAGGCAAGCUUGGCGACAGGGACGAAGUCGUAACAAGGCA
rnacentral:rRNA from 1 species